rnacentral:rRNA from 1 species
UACGGGGGGAGCAAGCGUUGUUCGGAUUUACUGGGCGUAAAGGGCGCGUAGGCGGUCGUGACAAGUCACUUGUGAAAUCUCCGGGCUUAACUCGGAACGGUCAAGUGAUACUGUCGGACUAGAGUACAGAAGGGGCAACUGGAAUUCUCGGUGUAGCGGUGAAAUGCGUAGAUAUCGAGAGGAACACCUGCGGCGAAGGCGGGUUGCUGGGCUGAUACUGACGCUGAGGCGCGAAAGCAUGGGUAGCGAACAGG